rnacentral:rRNA from 1 species
GAUUGAACGCUGGCGGUAGGCUUAACACAUGCAAGUCGUGCGAGAAAGUAUCUUACGGAUAUGAGUAGAGUCGGUCGGACGGGUGAGUAACGCGUAGGAAGUCUACCUAGUAGAAGGGGAUAGCCCCGAGGAAACUCGGAGUUAAUACCGUAUACCUACUUUAGGGAGAAAGAGGGCCUCUCUUGAUGCUCUCGCUAUUAGAUGAGCCGUAGCGUAAGAUUAGCUUGUUGGUCGAGGUAAUGGC